rnacentral:rRNA from 1 species
CAGCCGCCGCGGUAAUACCGGCGGCCCGAGUGGCGGCCACUCUUAUUGGGCUUAAAGCGUCCGUAGCCGGGUUGGUUAGUCUCCCGGGAAAUCUGGCCGCUUAACGGUCAGAAUUCCGGGAGAUACUGCCAGCCUAGGGACCGGGAGAGGCCGAGGGUAUUCCCGGAGUAGGGGUGAAAUCCUAUAAUCCCGGGAGGACCACCUGUGGCGAAGGCGCUCGGCUGGAACGGGUCCGACGGUGAGGGACGAAGGCCAGGGGAGCAAACCGGAUUAGAUACCCGGGUAGUCCUGGCGGUAAACGAUGCGGACUUUGUGUCGGACAAGCUAUGAGCUUGUCCGGUGCCGGAGGGAAACCGUUAAGUCCGCCGCCUGGGGAGUACGGCCGCAAGGCUGAAACUUAAAGGAAUUGGCGGG